GAUGAACGCUGGCGGCGUGCCUAAUACAUGCAAGUCGAGCGAACGGACGAGAAGCUUGCUUCUCUGAUGUUAGCGGCGGACGGGUGAGUAACACGUGGAUAACCUACCUAUAAGACUGGGAUAACUUCGGGAAACCGGAGCUAAUACCGGAUAAUAUUUUGAACCGCAUGGUUCAAAAGUGAAAGACGGUCUUGCUGUCACUUAUAGAUGGAUCCGCGCUGCAUUAGCUAGUUGGUAAGGUAACGGCUUACCAAGGCAACGAUGCAUAGCCGACCUGAGAGGGUGAUCGGCCACACUGGAACUGAGACACGGUCCAGACUCCUACGGGAGGCAGCAGUAGGGAAUCUUCCGCAAAGGGCGAAAGCCUGACGGAGCGACGCCGCGUGAGUGAUGAAGGUCUUCGGAUCGUAAAACUCUGUUAUUAGGGAAGAACAUAUGUGUAAGUAACUGUGCACAUCUUGACGGUACCUAAUCAGAAAGCCACGGCUAACUACGUG
rnacentral:rRNA from 1 species